GUGGAAGCAAACCCUUCUGGGACCAAAGGACUCCAGUUAUUUUUUAGGGAUACUGAAGACUUAGUCAAGGUGACACUUACCUUGGGCUUUUCAGCAGCUGUAAAAUACCCAGGUCUGGUAGCUUCCACUCUCGCUGUCUCAUUUCCACUGUGCAGGAGGAGUUGAUCAGAUUCAGCAGCCCAUUCAUGUUUGGUUUACAGCUGAAGCAGUGAAUCACAACAGCAGAUAAGUACCAUAAUUAUGAAUUUCAAGCUCUGAAAAGAUGAGAAAGACAUUAGUGGUGAUGAAGUAACGAACAGACACUUAACCUAUCAAAGAUCCUUCAUGAAAGAAGUACCUGUGGAGUUGUUGAUUAGACAAUGUCAUGUCUAAAAAAAGUCCUUUACUGUCCUUACUUACAAAUAAAAUAUGAAAAAGGUUCUUAUUUACA